UUUCGAUUUCUCCAAACCUAGCAUUAUAAAUAUCGUAACACAGCCCGCUGUCCCUUUCCGAGAACAGGAAGCCGCUCGGAGGAAGGGAGGAGAUCAGCGACUAGAUCGGAGAAGAGAUGAGGGCCAAGUGGAAGAAGAAGCGGAUGAGGAGACUUAAGAGGAAGCGCCGAAAGAUGCGGCAGAGAUCAAAGUAGGUGAUGAAGGUGUCAGCAUCCUUGAGUCACGCUCACACAAUGUGGUGUCUAUUCAUGCACCUGAUGUUGAGUGUUUUAUAGGAGGCGAAGCUACUUUAUGUCCUUCAAUUACUUGUUUGGCAGUAGUAGAACUUGGAUAGUUUGCUUGACAGCUUGAUGUUCUUGUGUUUUGUUUGACCAUUGAGAACUUCUUUGUAAGGCAUUAUUUGGAAGGAAUCCAAUGUCAACAUUUGAAUUCCAUGAAGUACUAUUU